rnacentral:rRNA from 1 species
GAUGAACGCUGGCGGCGUGCCUAAUACAUGCCAGUCGAGCGAACGGACGAGAAGCUUGCUUCUCUGAUGUUAGCGGCGGACGGGUGAGUAACACGUGGAUAACCUACCUAUAAGACUGGGAUAACUUCGGGAAACCGGAGCUAAUACCGGAUAAUAUUUUGAACCGCAUGGUUCAAAAGUGAAAGACGGUCUUGCUGUCACUUAUAGAUGGAUCCGCGCUGCAUUAGCUAGUUGGUAAGGUAACGGCUUACCAAGGCAACGAUGCAUAGCCGACCUGAGAGGGUGAUCGGCCACACUGGAACUGAGACACGGUCCAGACUCCUACGGGAGGCAGCAGUAGGGAAUCUUCCGCAAUGGGCGAAAGCCUGACGGAGCAACGCCGCGUGAGUGAUGAAGGUCUUCGGAUCGUAAAACUCUGUUAUUAGGGAAGAACAUAUGUGUAAGUAACUGUGCACAUCUUGACAGUACCUAAUCAGAAAGCCACGGCUAACUACGUG